GAUGAACGCUGGCGGCGUGCUUAACACAUGCAAGUCGAACGGAAAGGCCCAAGCUUGCUUGGGUACUCGAGUGGCGAACGGGUGAGUAACACGUGGGUGAUCUGCCCUGCACUUCGGGAUAAGCCUGGGAAACUGGGUCUAAUACCGGAUAGGACGAUGGUUUGGAUGCCAUUGUGGAAAGUUUUUUCGGUGUGGGAUGAGCUCGCGGCCUAUCAGCUUGUUGGUGGGGUAAUGGCCUACCAAGGCGUCGACGGGUAGCCGGCCUGAGAGGGUGUACGGCCACAUUGGGACUGAGAGGCGGGCCAGAGUCCGACAGGAGGCAGAAGUGGGGAAUAUUGCACAAUGGGCGGAAGCCUGAUGCAGGGACGCCGCGUGGGGGAUGAGGGCCUUCGGGUUGUAGACUCCGUUCGCUAGGGACGAAGCGUUUUUGUGACGGUACCUGGAGAAGAAGCACCGGCUAACUACGUG
rnacentral:rRNA from 1 species